UACGUAGGGGGCAAGCGUUGUCCGGAUUUAUUGGGCGUAAAGAGCGUGUAGGCGGUUCGGUAGGUCCGUUGUGAAAACUCGAGGCUCAACCUCGAGACGCCGAUGGAAACCAUCGAACUAGAGUCCGGAAGAGGAGAGUGGAAUUCCUGGUGUAGCGGUGAAAUGCGCAGAUAUCAGGAAGAACACCCGUGGCUAAGGCGGCUUCUUGGGCCCUACCUGACGCUGAGGCGCGAAAGCCAGGGGAGCGAACGGG
rnacentral:rRNA from 1 species